rnacentral:rRNA from 1 species
GACGAACGCUGGCGGCGUGCUUAACACAUGCAAGUCGAACGGAAAGGCCCUGCUUUUGUGGGGUGCUCGAGUGGCGAACGGGUGAGUAACACGUGAGUAACCUGCCCUUGACUUUGGGAUAACUUCAGGAAACUGGGGCUAAUAACGGAUAGGAGCUCCUGCUGCAUGGUGGGGGUUGGAAAGUUUCGGCGGUUGGGGAUGGACUCGCGGCUUAUCAGCUUGUUGGUGGGGUAGUGGCUUACCAAGGCUUUGACGGGUAGCCGGCCUGAGAGGGUGACCGGCCACAUUGGGACUGAGAUACGGCCCAGACUCCUACGGGAGGCAGCAGUGGGGAAUAUUGCACAAUGGGCGGAAGCCGGAUGCAGCAACGCCGCGUGCGGGAUGACGGCCUUCGGGUUGUAAACCGCUUUCGCCUGUGACGAAGCGUGAGUGACGGUAAUGGGUAAAGAAGCACCGGCUAACUACGUG